rnacentral:lncRNA from 1 species
CUCACUCUCUUUUUUCAAUCUCCUUCUACCAUCUUUUUUCCAGCAACACAACAUCAAAGCAUCAAAUCAACAACAACAACAAUCUCUUCUUCUCUUCUUUCCUGGUUGUUCCAAUCCAUCUCCUUCUCAUCAAUUUUCAAUUUUUGGAUCACUCAUCAACAACACAACAACACAUCAUUAACAACAACAACAACGCAAAAUUCUUCUUUAACCCAAUUCCAAACCAGAAAAACAAAAUCAAAUGGAAUUUGAAUCGGAAACAACAACAACAACUUCAACGUAAAACAACAACAAC